CUUGCUUAACUGCUUUCCCUUUGUUUCUGAGUUCUCUCAGUUCCCUAAUUAGUAAGUGAUUGAGUCUGCUCUUUGGAACUCACGGAAGGCCUAGGAGAUUAAAGCUUUUUCUCUACAAACAAGAAAUGGGAAAUACGGAGGGGCUUCUGUACCCGGGAGGACCCUACAGGGUUCUGCUUGGUUUUACACCGAUGUUUUCCCUGAGACUACCACUCUAGUGAACAUGGCUGUGGCCCAGAUUUCUUGGCAGAAAGCUCAGACCAUUACCUCUUACUCAGAAUGGAGGGUGGGGCUGGCUGCAAAAGGUGCAGAGGGUCAAAUUAAUAACAUUCCUCUGUGGUACAUCAACAACAACGAUCGUAUAAGACCUGUCGUGUGUGUGUAUGUAUGAACGCUUGUCCGGAGCAGCCCCAUAGAGAGGCCCACGUGUCAAGGCACUGAGGCCUCUUGCCAACAGCCACAUGAAUGAGGUCAGAAGCAGAUCCUGUAGGCCCAGUCAAGUCUUGGGAGACUACAGCCCUGGCUGCCAGCUUGACGGUAGCCUUCCCCAUAAGCCCUCCUGAGCAUCCAGAUUCCUGACCCUCAGAAGACAUGUGUGAUAAUUGUUCAUUGUUUUAACCUGC